rnacentral:tRNA from 1 species
GCACCCGUGCCCGGCCGGCCCGGGCCGGCGCCGGGGCCGCCGCAGGGUCCCCGCUCGACGGGAUCCGUGCCGUGUUCGGGGACCGGCGGCUGCGC